GACGAACGCUGGCGGCGUGCCUAAUACAUGCAAGUCGAACGCAUUUUCUUUCACCGUAGCUUGCUACACCGAAAGAAAAUGAGUGGCGAACGGGUGAGUAACACGUGGGUAACCUGCCCAUCAGCGGGGGAUAACACUUGGAAACAGGUGCUAAUACCACAUAAUUCCAUUUACUGCAUGGUAGAUGGAUGAAAGGCGCUUUUGCGUCACUGAUGGAUGGACCCGCGGUGCAUUAGCUAGUUGGUGGGGUAACGGCCUACCAAGGCUGCGAUGCAUAGCCGACCUGAGAGGGUGAUCGGCCACACUGGGACUGAGACACGGCCCAGACUCCUACGGGAGGCAGCAGUAGGGAAUCUUCGGCAAUGGACGCAAGUCUGACCGAGCAACGCCGCGUGAGUGAAGAAGGUUUUCGGAUCGUAAAACUCUGUUGUUAGAAAAGAACGAGGAUGAGAGUGGAAAGUUCAUCCCUUGACGGUAUCUAACCAGAAAGCCACGGCUAACUACGUG
rnacentral:rRNA from 1 species